GGGCCCAUAGCUCAAUGGCAGAGCACUCGGCUCAUAACCGAUUGGUUGUAGGUUCGAAUCCUACUGGGCCCACAA
rnacentral:tRNA from 1 species